rnacentral:rRNA from 1 species
GUCGCACGAGCCUUCGGGCUAGUGGCGGACGGGUGAGUAACACGUGGGUAACCUGCCUCGUAGUGGGGAAUAACUCGCCGAAAGGCGAGCUAAUACCGCAUAACACCCUCGGUGAGAAUCCGAGUGGUAAAAGCUCCGGCGCUAUGAGAGGGGCCCGCGGCCGAUUAGCUUGUUGGUGGGGUAACGGCCUACCAAGGCGACGAUCGGUAGCUGGUCUGAGAGGAUGGUCAGCCACACGGGGACUGAGAUACGGCCCCGACUCCUACGGGAGGCAGCAGCUAAGAAUCUUGCGCAAUGGGCGAAAGCCUGACGCAGCAAUUCCGCGUGGGGGACGAAGGCCCUCGGGUCGUAAACCCCUUUUGCGAGGGAAGAAGUUCUGACGGUACCUCGCGAAUAAGCCACGGCUAACUACGUGCCAGCAGCCGCGGUAAUACGUAGGUGGCAAGCGUUGUCCGGAUUUAUUGGGCGUAAAGCGCCCGCAGGCGGCUCGAUAAGUUUCAGGUGAAAUCUCCCGGCUCAACCGGGAGGGUGCCUGGAAAACUAUCAGGCUUGAGUCAUGGAGAGGGAUGUGGAAUUCCCGGUGUAGUGGUGAAAUGCGUAGAUAUCGGGAGGAACACCAGUGGCGAAGGCGGCAUCCUGGCCAUGUACUGACGCUCAGGGGCGAAAGCGUGGGGAGCAAACCGGAUUAGAUACCCGGGUAGUCCACGCCGUAAACGAUGAGUACUAGGUGUAGGGGGGUAUCGACCCCCUCUGUGCCGAAGCUAACGCGAUAAGUACUCCGCCUGGGGACUACGGCCGCAAGGCUAA